GACGAACGCUGGCGGCGUGCUUAACACAUGCAAGUCGAACGGAAAGGCCCUGCUUUUGUGGGGUGCUCGAGUGGCGAACGGGUGAGUAACACGUGAGUAACCUGCCCUUGACUUUGGGAUAACUUCAGGAAACUGGGGCUAAUCUCGGAUAGGAGCUCCUGCUGCAUGGUGGGGGUUGGAAAGUUUCGGCGGUUGGGGAUGGACUCGCGGCUUAUCAGCUUGCUGGUGGGGUAGUGGCUUACCAAGGCUUUGACGGGUAGCCGGCCUGAGAGGGUGACCGGCGACAUUGGGACUGAGAUACGGCCCAGACUCCUACGGGAGGCAGCAGGGGGGAAUAUGGCACAAUGGGCGGAAGCCUGAGGCAGCAACGCCGCGUGCGUGAUGACGGCCUUCUGGUUGUAAACCGCUUUCGCCUGUGACGAAGCGUGAGUGACGGUAAUGGGUAAAGAAGCACCGGCUAACUACGUG
rnacentral:rRNA from 1 species